rnacentral:lncRNA from 1 species
UUUAGAGUCCAAAACUACACUAUGGAUUGCUUUAGUGCAAAUUGAUCGAAGCAAUCAAAUAAUAAUCAUCCAAGCAUCCCAUGUCUAACAAAAAUCAUGUACUUUCCAGGCCCUCUUCACAAGCCCAUCUACAUUUAAUAAGAUGUCAGCUUGCAAACUGAAAACAUCUGGGCGCAAAAAAAUAUUUCAUAAGAAAUCCAAUCCAAAGUAAACUUUAUAAUUCGACACAUUAUAUAGCAACUCAAGUGGAC